GCUCAGGUCUAUGGAGGAAAAACUCUACGCGGGCCCUACGACUCCGAUGGCCGUGGCCGCCUGCGGCAUCAAGGCCAUGUCCCUGUUCAAGCGGACCUUGGUGCUGAGCCCCGCCGCGGCACCCCGGGGCACGGGCACUGCCGCAGGCUCCGCGCCGCGCGGCUGCCCCUUGUCUCCCGCCGCCUGGCCCUCCAAGGACUGGCCGCGCGGGGAGGGCGUCUGCGGCAGGCUGCGGACCCCGCCGGCAGCCGGCCGCCUGCCCCUGUCCCACUCCUGCCGCUCUGCAUCUCCCACCUCCGCGUGUCUUUUCUGCCCCCAGGACUCGCUGAGCAGCAGCUUGAAAACUUGUUACAAGUAUCUCAAUCAGACCAGUCGCAGUUUUGCAGCUGUCAUCGAGGCGCUGGAUGGGGAAAUGCGUCAUGCGGUAUGCGUAUUUUAUCUGGUCCUCCGAGCUCUGGACACUCUGGAAGAUGACAUGACCAUCAGUGUAGAAAAAAAAGUCCCACUGCUACACAACUUUCACUCUUACCUUUACGAACCCGACUGGCGGUAUAUGGACAGCAAGGAGAAAGAUCGACAAGUGCUAGAGGACUUCCCAACGAUCUCCCUUGAGUUUAGAAAUUUGGCUGAGAAAUAUCAAACAGUGAUUGUUGACAUUUGCCGGAAAAUGGGAGUUGGGAUGGCGGAGUUUUUGGAUAAACACGUAACAUCUGAACAGGAGUGGGACAAGUACUGUCACUAUGUCGCCGGGCUGGUGGGAAUUGGCCUUUCCCGUCUAUUCUCAGCCUCAGAGUUAGAAGACCCCUUAGUUGGUGAAGACGUAGAGUGUGCCAAUUCUAUGGGCCUGUUUCUGCAGAAAACAAACAUCAUUCGUGAUUAUCUGGAAGACCAGCGAGAAGGAAGAGAGUUUUGGCCUCAAGAGGUUUGGAGCAAAUAUGUUAAGAAGUUGGGCGAUUUUGCUAAACCACAGAAUAUUGACUUGGCUGUGAAGUGCCUGAACGAACUUAUAACCAACGCACUACACCACAUCCCAGAUGUCAUCACUUACCUUUCAAGACUUAGAAACCAAAGUGUGUUUAACUUCUGCGCUAUUCCACAGGUGAUGGCCAUUGCCACUCUGGCUGCCUGUUAUAAUAACCAGCAGGUGUUCAAAGGCGUAGUGAAGAUCCGAAAAGGGCAAGCAGUAACUCUAAUGAUGGACGCCACCAAUAUGCCGGCGGUCAAAGCUAUAAUCUACCAGUACAUGGAAGAGAUUUAUCAUAGAAUCCCCAGCUCAGACCCAUCUUCUGGUAAAACAAGGCAGAUCAUCUCCACCAUCAGGACACAGAAUCUUCCCAAUUGUCAGCUGAUCUCCCGAAGUCACUACUCCCCUAUUUACCUGUCAUUUGUCAUGCUCUUGGCUGCCCUGAGCUGGCAGUACCUGAGCACCCUGUCCCAGGUCACAGAAGACUACGUUCAGACCGGAGAGCACUGACUGGGAUAUUGGUCUGGAAGCUCAAGUUCACCCUGAAAUGGGCUGGCCUUUUCUUCAAGAAAAAGGAUAUUGGCACCCCCCUCCCCCCUUUUUUCCCUCCCGCUUUAAUCCCUGAAAGAACUCUGUGGACUUGAGACUUUUAGAAACUGUGACAUGCGGUCAAGAAGCUAAGAAUACAAGGGAAGGCUACCUCACCCUCGGCAGGCAGGCCCUCGCGGGUGGUGCUCACGACUGCGCGCCAUGGCCAACAGCAGAGGGCCGCUCACUGCAGUUCAGGGGACAUGGUGGCAUGUGGGGCUGCCGAGAGGUCUUACUUAGUGUGAAUCUUGACUAGAAUUCUAAUUAAAUGUAUUUAAUUUGAAGCGACCUUGGAAUACAUGUCCUUGUACAAAGUGAAGUGAAUUUUCUCCGUUGGGUUCCCGUUUUUCUCAUCAUUUUGUUUUAUUCAGUUGAUUUGAAUGUAGUAGACGUCCGUGUUUGUAGGUCUAGGCAACAGCCCUAGGUUUCCUAAGAGUGCAGACUGUCUUCUGCCCAUGAAGGCUAAGGACUGACUUCUGGGGGUUCUGGAAUCGCUUCCUGGUUUAAAAGGAGGUUAGCUUUCAGAAAGAAACUGCGGGAUUGCUUUGGGUCCCAUCGUGGAAGACUGGCCUCCAGUUAAGGCUGACUUUUUAAGAAGACAUCAUAUAUAAAGAUGUGUUUAUAAUGAACUGAGUUACUUUGCAUCUGUCGAGGGCAGCUCAUUUGAAAGCCUGGAUGAGCACGGCAAAUAGGAACGCAAGAAUGGAGUCAGUGAUGGAGGGACUGAUGGCCGUCUGCGGCCCCCGCAGAGCCAGCCAGAGCAGGACCAAGAAGAAGGACCCAGCUGCCUGGGCCCUGCACGGCUGUGCCUGCUGGAAACGAGCCUGCGAGCCUGCGGCAGCCUCGCCUCCCUGGCCAGCUUGGGACCUACACUCCCUCUACCAGCCUGCUGUCCCCCUUGGCCGACUCUUAGCCGCAUGCAGAAAUGUUACCAUGUCCAGGAUUUUUGUGGGGUUUUUUUGUCUUUUGUUUCUUUUUUUUUUAAAUCACCAGUUUAUACAUGGAAGCCUCGAGAAAGGCAACGUGUGUUUUCAGGUGAUGGGCUGGAAAGCCGAAGAGCAUUUAGCCUCCUCCUUCUAGCAUCACUGUCUGCCUUGAGCCCCGCACAGGCCGGGGGUGUGAGGCACACUCACCCAGGACCUUACUGCGAAUCUAGGCCUGGGCCGGGGAGGACACGGCCCCUCUUGGAGGGUGUUUGAAAAAGCCCCUCAAGCUGAGGAAUCACGGUUGUGGGGCAUGAAAGUACUUUCUAGAAGCCAUUCAUACCCUCGGUGUAUAUAGCCUGCUCUUCCGCUGCCGUCCUUUGUGUGCGGUGAUGUAAUCAUUGAAGCUGAGGGUUUUCCAAAACCAGCAGGAGUGCUGGUCUCGCAUUGUUACACACGUACUCACACUGCUGUCCCUUCAUGUCCCCGGCUGCCACCGAACACAGUGGCCUAGUUUCGGUCCCUGGAAGCUGUGGUGAAUUGGUUCAUCUGAGGGUCGGUCCUGGACAAACUUGUCACCACGCUGAAGCCAGGCGUUUGCCGCAUGGGGUACAGCUCUGAGCCAGGCUCCCCAGGAAUUUUCCUAGUAAUUUAAGCAUCAGAACUUGGUUUAAGAUUCCAAGACUCCUUAAGCCAAGCGUGCAGAUGCCCUGCAGUUCAUCUGGGUCCUUGCUGUAUUGCAUCUCCGCCGGCUUCCCAGCUGAGCGCGGAGCUGCGGGUGGGUGCAGGGUGGGCACAGGAUGGGCACAGGAUGAGCACAGGAUGGACAUGGGAUCAUCCGAUUCCGUGUGGGGGCAGGUCGAAUUUGUCAGAACUACACUGAGGUUAUGAAUGUCUUCCAAAUGAAAUUUGAAGAAUAAAGUUUGGCUUUGGUAACCUUUGUUAAACGCUUAAA